UGUUUGCAAAAGACAAAUUGUAUACAUGUGUAUAGUGUAAACGGUCUGGGAUGUAACAUUUUAUACACGUGUUCCUGUGUGUGUGUGUGUAAGUUAGUAAGGAAGCACAAUAGAGAGAGCUAAUGCUGUGUGAGUGUGUGAAAUAAAAUGAAACACAGGAAUACUACAUGGGAGCGUGUGUGUGUGUGUGUGUGUGUGUGUGUGUGUGAAAGAGAGGAGACAGAAUAGCCUUUGUGCUCUGAAGAUUUGGGAAAUGUUGCGACAGGAACAAUCACAACCUCUGUUCUCUCUCUUUCUCUGUUUGCAUGUGUCCCACUCUUUCUUCAUUUUGUUACAUAAUACAGGAAGAAUCCAGCUGCCCCCUUUGAGAACGUCAUGCGUUGUGAGUGUGUGUGUGUGUGUGUGUGUGUGUGUGUCAGUCAGAGAGACAGAGAGCUAGGCGGUGUACAUUUCAUUGUACAGCGGUGAUAUUUUGAAGGGUCGCGGGCUGUUCCGACACCCCGAUGAGAGCGAAAACAGUAUGAACUCAGUUUCUGUGAGCGAGCCGGAGGAAGUCCACUUUUUACAAAAAUAACAAAAAGAAAUGGACGUUUUCUUCUCUCCGAGCAUUUACUAAAAAAAAAGAAGCACACUGUUGAAUACCAUGCACUGUAAGCAUUUUCAUGUUCAAUGGAACAAACUCGUCUGAGUGUUUUUUACGCAAUGUCAAGUGGCCAAAAAAAA